GCGGACGUGGUGCAUGGUGCACCGCUGCAUUUCGUGAGGUCUUUUGAAAUGGGAAAUUGCAGCAGCCGACGGGGUUCGACUCCCCGCGUCCGCA